GUAGCUCAGCUGGAUAGAGUACUCGGCUACGAACCGAGCGGUCGGAGGUUCGAAUCCUCCCGGAUGCACCA
rnacentral:tRNA from 50 species